CGCUAUCACUCCUACGGGAGGCAGCAGUGGGAAUAUUGCACAAUGGGGGAAACCCUGAUGCAGCCAUGCCGCGUGUGUGAAGAAGGCCUUCGGGUUGUAAAGCACUUUCAGUAGGGAGGAAGGUAGUGUAGUUAACACCUGCAUUAUUUGACGUUACCUACAGAAGAAGCACCGGCUAACUCCGUGCCAGCAGCCGCGGUAAUACGGAGGGUGCGAGCGUUAAUCGGAAUUACUGGGCGUAAAGCGCAUGCAGGCGGCCUGUUAAGUCAGAUGUGAAAGCCCGGGGCUUAACCUCGGAAUUGCAUUUGAAACUGGCAGGCUAGAGUCUUGUAGAGGGGGUAGAAUUUCAGGUGUAGCGGUGAAAAUGCGUAGAGAUCUGAAGGAAUACCAGUGGCGAAGGCGGCCCCCUGGACAAAGACUGACGCUCAGAUGCGAAAGCGUGGGGAGCAAACAGGAUUAGAUACCCUGGUAG
rnacentral:rRNA from 1 species